AGUGUGGUACUUUAAAUUAAAAGAUUAGGUUUGCAACUUUAAAUUGAGGCUUAUAGCAGCCUCCUGCGCUA
rnacentral:tRNA from 2 species